rnacentral:rRNA from 1 species
UACGUAGGGGGUGAGCGUUAUCCGGAAUUACUGGGCGUAAAGCGCACGCAGGCGGUUCGCCAAGUUUGGAGUGACAGUUGUCGGCUCAACCGACAAAGGACUUCAAAAACUGGUGAACUUGAGGACGAGAGAGGAACAUGGAACUCCAGGUGUAGUAGUGAAAUGCGUAGAUAUCUGGAAGAACACCAAUGGCGAAGGCAAUGUUCUGGCUCGUUUCUGACGCUCAGGUGCGAAAGCCAGGGGAGCGAACGGG